rnacentral:rRNA from 1 species
UACAGAGGGGGCAAGCGUUGUUCGGAAUUACUGGGCGUAAAGAGCGCGCAGGCGGUCGUUCAAGUCGCGUGUGAAAGCCCCCGGCUCAACUGGGGAGGGUCACGCGAUACUGAUCGACUCGAAGGCAGGAGAGGGAAGUGGAAUUCCCGGUGUAGUGGUGAAAUGCGUAGAUAUCGGGAGGAACACCAGUGGCGAAGGCGACUUCCUGGCCUGUUCUUGACGCUGAGGCGCGAAAGCUAGGGGAGCAAACGGG